UACAGAGGGGGCAAGCGUUGUUCGGAAUUACUGGGCGUAAAGGGCGCGUAGGCGGCCUUCUAAGUCGAACGUGAAAUCCCCGGGCUCAACCCGGGAACUGCGUCCGAUACUGGAAGGCUUGAAUCCGGGAGAGGGAUGCGGAAUUCCAGGUGUAGCGGUGAAAUGCGUAGAUAUCUGGAGGAACACCGAUUGCGAAGGCAGCUCGCUGGGACGUCACUGACGCUGAGACGCGAAAGCGUGGGGAGCAAACAGG
rnacentral:rRNA from 1 species